rnacentral:lncRNA from 1 species
CUGGGAGUCUCCCCGCCGGCCCCCAGGCACCCCAACCUAGCCCCCCACGGCGCCCCAGAUCACCCUUCACUGAUGCCGCCCGCGCCACGAGCUUCAGUUCUUUUUUUUUUUUUUUAAAGCCAGGGCCCCCUCCAAGGGCCAAGCCAGACCGCCCCGCCGGGAUGUGGCCCCCUAUUCCGGCCCCCGACACCCUACCUCACGGGGCACUGCCCAAGCAGGGGCCGCACCAGUAGGUACGCAAGGGCGCGGCACGCGCCACCCGCCCCGAAAGACCCCCGCCAGGACCGGCCCGGCCAGCAGGCCAAGCACCCCGGGCCCCAGGAGCACCCCCCGGGACCAGGACCCCCCAAGGGCAAGCCCCCGGGCCAAGCCCCCCGGGACGCAUCCCCCACCCCCGCCCGGGACCCGGCCACGGCCCAGCAGGACCGCACAGCCCCGGACAGCCCACGGCCAGCAGCCCAGGGCCCGCCGCCCCCCGGACAGCGCCAGCCACGGAGCAGCGCCCCCCGCCGGCCCGCGAGCAACCGGCGAUCCCCACCGCGGGGACGGAGGCACCCCAACGGCACACAUCAAGUGCGGGACAGCAGCCCCCAGCCAAAGAUGCCCCGGACCCACCCACCAGUCCGCAAACGGCAGGAUAGACCCACCAGGCGGCCGACAGCAACCUCCACCACCGGAACAGCUAGCGCCGCCCCCAGUAAACAGCAUCACCCCGAGGCGCCAAGCAACCCCGCCCCAACCCCGGCGAGGACACCAGCACCCCCCAGCACACCCACCCCCCAAACCGGCGAGGCAGGCCGCCCCGGGCCCGCACACCGCGGGGCCCGCCCCCAAGGCCACCAGGAGACAAAGCAAGCACCAAGCCACACCCAAGGGGGAGAGGCACCCCCGCGCCCCACCCGGCCGACACAGCCCGGAAAGACCCCGCAAGGAGAGACCCCGGCAAAGCCCCCCCGAGACCCACCGCCACGCCCGACCGCACCAUCUUGAUGUGCUUUUGCUCUAUGCAGUGGCCCAGCCACCAACAGAGGGGCCAGGCCCCCACCGGAGAGGCCCAAAUAUGUGUACCAACCCACCACCCU